AAACCUUAGAGUUUGAUCCUGGCUCAGAACGAACGCUGGCGGCAGGCCUAAUACAUGCAAGUCGAACGAUGUAGCAAUACAUAGUGGCGCACGGGUGAGUAACACGUGGGAAUAUACCCUUGAGUAAGGAACAACAUCGGGAAACUGAUGCUAAUACCUUAUAAUGGCUCCGGCCCAAAGCUCCGGCGCUCAAGAAUUAGCCCGCGUCAGAUUAGCUAGUUGGUGAGGUAAUGGCUCACCAAGGCGACGAUCUGUAGCUGGUCUGAGAGGAUGAUCAGCCACACUGGAACUGAGACACGGUCCAGACUCCUACGGGAGGCAGCAGU
rnacentral:rRNA from 1 species